UACGUAGGGGGCCAGCGUUGUCCGGAAUCAUUGGGCGUAAAGCGCGCGUAGGCGGCCAGAUAAGUCCGGUGUGAAAGUCAAAGGCUCAACCUUUGAAUGCCGCUGGAAACUGCCUGGCUUGAGUCCGGAAGGGGCGAGUGGAAUUCCUGGUGUAGCGGUGAAAUGCGCAGAUAUCGGGAGGAACACCAAUGGCGAAGGCAGCUCGCUGGGACGUUACUGACGCUGAGACGCGAAAGCGUGGGGAGCAAACAGG
rnacentral:rRNA from 1 species